rnacentral:rRNA from 1 species
AGAGUUUGAUCCUGGCUCAGAUUGAACGCUGGCGGCACGCUUAACACAUGCAAGUCGAGCGGGUGGGCAGGAAGGAGUGGAUAUGGGUUGUCUAUUGCUUUCUGCCCACUGAUAGCGGCGGACGGGUGAGUAAUACGUGGGAUCUGCCCUGAAGAGUGGGACAACCUUGGGAAACUAGGGCUAAUACCGCAUACGAUUCUGAGGAAGAAAGUGAGCUUAGGCACACGCUUUAGGAUGAACCUACGUCCGAUUAGCUAGUUGGUAGGGUAAAGGCCUCCCAAGGCGACGAUCGGUAGCUGGUCUGAGAGGACGAACAGCCACACUGGGACUGAGACACGGCCCAGACUCCUACGGGAGGCAGCAGUGGGGAAUAUUGGACAAUGGGGGCAACCCUGAUCCAGCGAUGCCGCGUGUGUGAAGAAGGCCUGCGGGUUGUAAAGCACUUUUGUUAGGGAAGAGGUAGCAGAUUAAGAGUUGGUUAAGCUGACGGUACCUAACGAAUAAGCACCGGCUAACUCUGUGCCAGCAGCCGCGGUAAUACAGAGGGUGCGAGCGUUAAUCGGAAUUACUGGGCGUAAAGGGCGCGUAGGUGGGAUAAUAAGUUCUAUGUGAAAUACCUGUGCUUAACGUAGGAGUUGCAUAGGAUACUGUUAUUCUAGAGUGAAGUAGAGGGUGGCGGAAUUUCCGGUGUAGCGGUGAAAUGCGUAGAUAUCGGAAGGAACACCAGUGGCGUAGGCGGCCACCUGGGCUUUAACUGACACUGAGGCGCGAAAGCGUGGGUAGAAACAGGAUUAGAUACCCUAGUAGUCC